AGUGAACGCUGGCGGUAGGCCUAACACAUGCAAGUCGAACGGCAGCACAGUAAGAGCUUGCUCUUACGGGUGGCGAGUGGAGGACGGGUGAGGAAUACAUCGGAAUCUACUUUUUCGUGGGGGAUAACGUAGGGAAACUUACGCUAAUACCGCAUACGACCUACGGGUGAAAGCAGAGGAUCUUCGGACCUUGCGCGAUUGAAUGAGCCGAUGUCGGAUUAGCUAGUUGGCGGGGUAAAGGCCCACCAAGGCGACGAUCCGUAGCUGGUCUGAGAGGAUGUACAGCCACUCUGGAACUGAGACACGGUACAGACUCCUACGGGAGGCAGCAGUGGGGAAUAUUGGACAAUGGGCGCAAUCCUGAUCCAGCCAUACCGGGUGGGUGAAGAAGGCCUUCGGGUUGUAAGGCCCUUUUGUUGGGAAAGAAAAGCAGCAGGUUAAUACCCCGCUGUUCUGACGGUACCCAAAGAAUAAGCACCGGCUAACUUCGUG
rnacentral:rRNA from 1 species